rnacentral:misc_RNA from 1 species
GCCAUUUUAGGAUCUAUUACGCGCUUUGCGCUUCUUCCUUUCUCUUCCCCCUGCUCUAAAUUUUCUAUUUUUGUUCUUUCCGAUCUCUCUCUCUCGGACAGACUACUGCCACCGAAUUACGCAUAGCACUGUCAGAUCUGGGCUUUGCUUUUUCUUUUUUGGCUUUAAAUUUGAUCAAUCGGAUCCAGUGCAUAAAAGGGGUCUUUGAAUUGAACUGUGUGAUUCACACUGC